AUUGAACGCUGGCGGCAGGCUUAACACAUGCAAGUCGAGCGGAGAGAGGUAGCUUGCUACCGAUCUUAGCGGCGGACGGGUGAGUAAUGCUUAGGAAUCUGCCUAUUAGUGGGGGACAACAUUUCGAAAGGAAUGCUAAUACCGCAUACGUCCUACGGGAGAAAGCAGGGGAUCUUCGGACCUUGCGCUAAUAGAUGAGCCUAAGUCGGAUUAGCUAGUUGGUGGGGUAAAGGCCUACCAAGGCGACGAUCUGUAGCGGGUCUGAGAGGAUGAUCCGCCACACUGGGACUGGGACACGGCCCAGACUCCUACGGGAGGCAGCAGUGGGGAAUAUUGGACAAUGGGCGCAAGCCUGAUCCAGCCAUGCCGCGUGUGUGAAGAAGGCCUUAUGGUUGUAAAGCACUUUAAGCGAGGAGGAGGCUACUUUAGUUAAUACCUUGCUGUUUUGACGUUACCGGCAGAAUAAGCACCGGCUAACUCUGUGCCAGCCGCCGCCGUAAUAC
rnacentral:rRNA from 1 species